rnacentral:rRNA from 1 species
UACUCUUGACAUCCAGAGAACUUUCCAGAGAUGGAUUGGUGCCUUCGGGAACUCUGAGACAGGUGCUGCAUGGCUGUCGUCAGCUCGUGUUGUGAAAUGUUGGGUUAAGUCCCGCAACGAGCGCAACCCUUAUCCUUUGUUGCCAGCGGUCCGGCCGGGAACUCAAAGGAGACUGCCAGUGAUAAACUGGAGGAAGGUGGGGAUGACGUCAAGUCAUCAUGGCCCUUACGAGUAGGGCUACACACGUGCUACAAUGGCGCAUACAAAGAGAAGCGACCUCGCGAGAGCAAGCGGACCUCAUAAAGUGCGUCGUAGUCCGGAUUGGAGUCUGCAACUCGACUCCAUGAAGUCGGAAUCGCUAGUAAUCGUAGAUCAGAAUGCUACGGUGAAUACGUUCCCGGGCCUU